CUGCUGCAUCAGAGAGGGUGAUAUAACCCAAGCUCACACUUGUAACUAAAGACCCUAGUGUGAUUGCAUCGGAGUCGGCUUCCUGGUGAUCUUUUGGGGUUCACGGACACCUUCUGGGACAGCAGCUCCUGUUCGCUCCAAAUGGUAGUCAUCACUGAAGGAAGCCAAGACAGGAAUCUGGAGGCAGGACCUGAAGCAGAGGACCCUCAGCGGAGGUUACACAGAAAACUUGCUGUUUGAAUGCAGAUCCUGGGGUUCCACGAAGGCACUGUGCCUUUGGUUAUACGUGAGCCUCAGUUUCCUCUUGCCAAGGAGGGUGGGCCACGCCCCAAACUGGAAUUCCCAAGGAUGCAUCACACUGAGCAGGACGGUUCACUCAGCCCCAAGCGUGGUCGCCCAUAAAACUUGACACGGACACGGUGCCCCUGGCAGGUUUUAUUUAUAAUCUGCCUGUGAUCUGCUUCGGGAAUACAAUACUUGGAACCUUCCAGAACCAGAAGCACGCCAUUUAAGUCUUCAACGCUCAUUCCGUGGUCCUCAGAUCCUCAGAGGAGGCUCUGUGUCCGCACCGGAUCUGUCUCCUUUGAACCUACCUUUCUGGUCCCCAUUCAGUCCUGUGCAGUCCAGAGAACCUGGCAGCUCUUCUGCAGCCAGAUCUAUCUUUGAACUGCUGUAUCUCUUGUGGGUGAAAAUGUGGGGCUCUGCUUCAGAGCAAAAUUCAAAACAAUCCAGGCUCUGGCAGGCUUUCUUCUUUCCACUGGUGUUUGUACUUAGUGUUUAAUAAAUAUGGGGAGGGUCAAAAUAUGAUGUCAUUAGCACAAAUUUGAUUGAACAUAUCCGGGUUUUGUUUCUGGCCAGUGCUGGAAAGUGACUUGUGAUCGCAUGCUUCCUAAGUACGUGCUCACUAAGCUGCACCCCCCACUCCCUGUAUCAAAUUAAAAAAAAAUAAAAGUAAGGGCAUUGUGUUUGUAAAAAAAAAAAAAAAAA
rnacentral:lncRNA from 1 species